GAUGAACGCUGGCGGCGUGCCUAAUACAUGCAAGUCGAGCGAACGGACGAGAAGCUUGCUUCUCUGAUGUUAGCGGCGGACGGGUGAGUAACACGUGGAUAACCUACCUAUAAGACUGGGAUAACUUCGGGAAACCGGAGCUAACACCGGAUAAUAUUUUGAACCGCAUGGUUCAAAAGUGAAAGACGGUCUUGCUGUCACUUAUAGAUGGAUCCGCGCUGCAUUAGCUAGUUGGUAAGGUAACGGCUUACCAAGGCAACGAUGCAUAGCCGACCUGAGAGAGUGAUCGGCCACACUGGAACUGAGACACGGUCCAGACUCCUACGGGAGGCAGCAGUAGGGAAUCUUCCGCAAUGGGCGAAAGCCUGACGGAGCAACGCCGCGUGAGUGAUGAAGGUCUUCGGAUCGUAAAACUCUGUUAUUAGGGAAGAACAUAUGUGUAAGUAACUGUGCACAUCUUGACGGUACCUAAUCAGAAAGCCACGGCUAACUACGUG
rnacentral:rRNA from 1 species